CGAAAAGGGUCGGUGGGCGAGUGAGUAUACUCGAUAAUUCACUUUUACACUAAUUUAAUAAGAACGCAACGAUGAUGACUAUGAAGACUCAAAAUCGACUCUACGGGUCUAUUAGUGAAAUGUUUAAGAAAUUAAGUAACCUAAAAUUUACGUUUUACUUUUCCUAAUACAUUUUUAACAACUAAAGCAUUAUGCAUCUUACUUACUGGAUCGUUAUCUACUGGCCGUAAAAUUUCAAAAAUAAAACUUAUAAAAACCAGAUUGAAGUCUACAACAAGCGACAAUAGAUUGAAACGUGUGAUGUAGUUAUGUUAUUAUUCUGUGAAGGUCAUAACAAGAUUGAUUUGGGUCGAGCUAUAAAUCGAAUGAUUGGAAUGCGAUUACAAAGUUACACUAAACAACUUAUGCCGU